rnacentral:rRNA from 1 species
AUUGAACGCUGGCGGCAUGCUUUACACAUGCAAGUCGAACGGGGUGGGGGGCAACCUUCAUUCAGUGGCGAACGGGUGAGUAAUGCAUCGGAACGUAUCCCGUAGUGGGGGACAACGCCGCGAAAGCGGCGCUAAUACCGCAUAUGCUCUACGGAGGAAAGUGGGGGACCUGUAAGGUCCUCACGCUAUGGGAGCGGCCGAUGUCCGAUUAGCUAGUUGGUGGGGUAAUGGCCCACCAAGGCGACGAUCGGUAGCUGGUCUGAGAGGAUGAUCAGCCACACUGGGACUGAGACACGGCCCAGACUCCUACGGGAGGCAGCAGUGGGGAAUUUUGGACAAUGGGGGCAACCCUGAUCCAGCCAUGCCGCGUGCGGGAAGAAGGCCUUCGGGUUGUAAACCGCUUUUAGCCGGGAAGAAAAGGCGUCGCCUAAUACGCGGCGUUCUUGACGGUACCGGCGGAGUAAGCACCGGCUAACUACGUGCCAGCAGCAGCCGCAGUAA